UGGGGAAUUUUGGACAAUGGGCGGAAGCCUGAUCCAGCAAUGCCGCGUGUGUGAAGAAGGCCUUCGGGUUGUAAAGCACUUUUGUCCGGAAAGAAAUCCUUGGCUCUAAUACAGUCGGGGGAUGACGGUACCGGAAGAAUAAGCACCGGCUAACUACGUGCCAGCAGCCGCGGUAAUACGUAGGGUGCAAGCGUUAAUCGGAAUUACUGGGCGUAAAGCGUGCGCAGGCGGUUUGCUAAGACCGAUGUGAAAUCCCCGGGCUCAACCUGGGAACUGCAUUGGUGACUGGCAGGCUAGAGUAUGGCAGAGGGGGGUAGAAUUCCACGUGUAGCAGUGAAAUGCGUAGAGAUGUGGAGGAAUACCGAUGGCGAAGGCAGCCCCCUGGGCCAAUACUGACGCUCAUGCACGAAAGCGUGGGGAGCAAACAGGAUUAGAUACCCUGGUAGUCCACGCCCUAAACGAUGUCAACUAGUUGUUGGGGAUUCAUUUCCUUAGUAACGUAGCUAACGCGUGAAGUUGACCGCCUGGGGAGUACGGUCGCAAGAUUAAAACUU
rnacentral:rRNA from 1 species